rnacentral:rRNA from 1 species
UACGAAGGGUGCAAGCGUUACUCGGAAUUACUGGGCGUAAAGCGUGCGUAGGUGGUUCGUUAAGUCUGAUGUGAAAGCCCUGGGCUCAAACCUGGGAAUGGCAUUGGAAACUACCUUGCUCGAGGGUUGGAGGGGGGACUGGAAUACUUGGUGUAGCAGUGAAAUGCGUAGAGUAUCAAGUGGAACACCAGUGGCGAAGGCGAGUCCCUGGACAACUCCUGACACUGACGGCACGAA